GGGUCGGUGGUCUAGUGGUUAUGACGCUGCCCUUACAAGGCAGAGGUCGCAAGUUCAAUUCUUGCCCGACCCA
rnacentral:tRNA from 1 species